CCCGCCUAACCCAUUCCUCGUAUAAAACCUAACCCUAAGCCUCUCCCUGCCCCGAUCUUGUUCUCCCUCCAUCGCCGCCCCCAUCAUCUUCUUCCUUCUCCUAGAUCCACUCCUUUCCGUCCUCCGCACACCCACCGCUCCCACGGUCUUUCCUUCCUAGUCCCAAUCCCCACACCUCCCCGGCCUCUCCCGUCCUUCCUCCAUUUGCAAUCCUAGUGGCAACCAUCACCCCUACACACCAUUGUGUACCUUUACGGCUAUCCCCUCCGGCCCUCCCCUCCACCCUAUCUUCACGGUGAUGGUUGAUCCGCAGCAUGUGUUGCUGAUCUGCCGAGUUUGAUGGCGGCGGCAGCCCGAGUGAUGAGAUCCGCGUCUUGGGCGCGCGUAGAUCUAGCAUGGGCUCAACCCCCGAUGUUGGCCUUGUAAUGGCUCGCGGGAGUUCGUAGUGUACCCUAGCCGCCACUGGAUUCCGGUGUGGCUCCCGCCCCUUCUGUUGGCUUCCUCGACACCAUGGCCUCAUGCUGCUGCUUCGACCACAUGUCAGGUUCAUUUGCCUGUGCUGGUAGCCAUAACAGCCGUUCGUGGGCAGGGUAGGAAGCCUAAGGCUGGUGCGUGGACUCCCUCUUCGAUUGAUUGCUUAAGGCACAUGUAUACGAGUGAGAUGUGUGUGCGUGCAGCAGCCCGUGUUUUGUGUUUGCGGGUUUCCUCUCUGAAUUUUAACACUGAAUUUUCUCUGUAUCUUUACACUGCAGGGUACCAGUACAGACAGAGGGCACAUGUUCAUCAACCGGCUGCACUGUGCUAUGUGGGCUUCUAAUUUUGUUUAAUUUUCGACCCAGAUCUAAUUCAGUUUGGAUUUUUCGGACAGUUUGAUGUAUCUCUGUUCUCUAAAUCAAUAUAAUUAAGUGUACUAUAUGCAUUCAGUUUAGUUUUCUAUCAAAAUAUAAUUUAGUAUGAAUUAGUGUAAU
rnacentral:rRNA from 1 species